rnacentral:snRNA from 1 species
CACAUGGGUUAGUCGAUCC